AGUGAACGCUGGCAGUAGGCCUAACACAUGCAAGUCGAACGGCAGCACAGUAAGAGCUUGCUCUUACGGGUGGCGAGUGGCGGACGGGUGAGGAAUACAUCGGAAUCUACUUUUUCGUGGGGGAUAACGUAGGGAAACUUACGCUAAUACCGCAUACGACCUACGGGUGAAAGCAGGGGAUCUUCGGACCUUGCGCGAUUGAAUGAGCCGAUGUCGGAUUAGCUAGUUGGCGGGGUAAAGGCCCACCAAGGCGACGAUCCGUAGCUGGUCUGAGAGGAUGAUCAGCCACACUGGAACUGAGACACGGUCCAGACUCCUACGGGAGGCAGCAGUGGGGAAUAUUGGACAAUGGGCGCAAGCCUGAUCCAGCCAUACCGCGUGGGUGAAGAAGGCCUUCGGGUUGUAAAGCCCUUUUGUUGGGAAAGAGAAGCAGCAGGUUAAUACCCCGCUGUUCUGACGGUACCCAAAGAAUAAGCACCGGCUAACUUCGUG
rnacentral:rRNA from 1 species